rnacentral:rRNA from 1 species
UUAGUGGCGGACGGGUGAGUAACGCGUGGGAAAAACCUUGCCGUAUUACUGGGGGGAUAACACUUAGAAAUAGGUGCUAAUACCGCAUAAGCGCACAGCUUCGCAUGAAGCGGUGUGAAAAACUCUGGUGGUAUACGAUGGUUCCGCGUCUGAUUAGCUAGUUGGUGGGGUAAUGGCCUACCAAGGCAACGAUCAGUAGCCGGCCCGAGAGGGUGAACGGCCACAUUGGGACUGAGACACGGCCCAAACUCCUACGGAAGGCAGCAG